CAAUAACACACGUACAUUACAAAACGACACUCCCACACAAAAUCCUCCCCUCUGGCUGUGAUAUGAUUACUGAACACAAUGGUUAAUCUAAUUAUCACAGCCAGAGAAAUACAGUUUUUCCACAUUAUUUAUAACUUGAAAAGUAUGAAUCACAUUCACAUAAAUUUACAUUUACAUUUUCAGAAUCAGCAUACUCCAAAUACAAACAUAUGUCAAAAUCAUA